rnacentral:rRNA from 1 species
UGUAUGGUUAAGUGACUAAGCGUACACGGUGGAUGCCUGGGCAGUCAGAGGCGAUGAAGGACGUACUAACUUGCGAUAAGCGCAGAUAAGGCAGUAAGAGCCGUUUGAGUCUGCGAUUUCCGAAUGGGGAAACCCAACUGCAUAAGCAGUUACUGUUAACUGAAUACAUAGGUUAACAGAGCAAACCGGGGGAACUGAAACAUCUAAGUACCCCGAGGAGAAGAAAUCAACCGAGAUUCCGGUAGUAGCGGCGAGCGAACCUGGAUUAGCCCUUAAGCACUCGGUGAAGUAGGUGAACAAGCUGGAAAGCUUGGCGAUACAGGGUGAUAGCCCCGUAACCGACGCUUCAUCGAGCGUGAAAUCGAGUAGGGCGGGACACGUGAUAUCCUGUCUGAAUAUGGGGGGAC